GUUGGGUCAUCCCAAGGAAACCGGAAUGCACGGACGGUGUUAGUGGGGGAACAGGAAGUUCCGGACAGAAGCGCACCAUUAUUCAGUGUAAAGAAAGCGCCAGAACGGUGCAGUCAAUAAGAUAACAUUCUUGUCCUUUUCUAUUUAUUACUACAGGCCGACUCAGAUUAAGUCUGAGGCCGGUAACAUAAACAGUGAGGACAAACGCAGCCUGCCUCUCUCCUUCCACACUGAGUCCAAACCUACAGUCACUGGGUCCUGAUUGUGACAGUGGAGCCCAGUUUGCACUACAGGAUCCAGAGAUGGCAUCAGUGAAGCUGGAAGACUGCAGUCCAACAAUGGAGCUGAAUAUUGACAUUAAAGAUGAAGAAGAGGAGGAGAAGAUUGGGGGAUCUGUUAGUCAUGGUAUGAGGCCGGUAACAUCAACAGUGAGGACAAACCCAGCCUGCCUCUCUCCUUC